rnacentral:rRNA from 1 species
CUAAAAAUCUAGCCUUCCCAUCCCCACCCCUAAUCACAACCCGAAACAAAAUAUUUUAUCAGUUUAGUAGAGAAGAUUAAAAAACUUUUAAGAGCCAUAUUCUAGUACCGCAAGGGAAAAAUGAAAUAAAAUGAAAAUCUAAAGCACAAAACAGUAGAGACUUAACCUCGUACCUUUUGCAUCAUGGUUUAGCUAGUCUAACCAGGCAAAAUGACCUUUAGUCUGACUUCCCGAAACUAAGUGAGCUACUUUAGGGCCGCUAAACGAGCUAACCCUUCUAUGUUGCAAAAUAGUGGGAAGACCCUAAAAUAGAGGUGAUAAGCCUAACGAACUUAGUUAUAGCUGGUUUCUCAAAAAAAGAAUUUUAGUCCAACCUAAAGCAAUGUAAAUUCAAAUAAAUUUCACCUAUCCUUUAGAGCAAUUCAAAUAAGGUACAGCCUAUUUGAUACAGGAUUCAACCUUCACCCACGGGUAAUAUUUUAUUAUAUUUACAAGUAGGCCUAAUAGCAGCCACCUUUCAAAAAGCGUCAAAGCUUAACACUUUAAAUCUAACUCCACAUAUACACCCCCUCAAACCCUACUGAGAACUUCUAUAAACUUAUAGAAAUUUUUAUGCUAAAACUAGUAACAAGAGUUUAAUAUCCUCUCUUUAAUGUCAGUAUAUGUCAGAAAGAAUUCCCUCUGACAAUUAACAAACCUAAUUUAUAGUAGUAACUUUUCCCCAAGAAAACCCUACUCUUAUAACUGUUAACCUAACACAAGCACAUUUCAAGAAAGGCCAAAAGAAAGAGAAGGAACUCGGCAAACAUUAAUCCCGCCUGUUUACCAAAAACAUCGCCUCUUGAACCCAUAAGAGGUCCCGCCUGCCCAGUGACUCUGUUCAACGGCCACGGUAUCCUAACCGCGCAAAGGUAGCGUAAUCACUUGUUUUCUAAAUAAAGACUAGUAUGAAAGGCAUCACGAGGAUUAAACUGUCUCCUCUCUCUGUUCAGUGAACCUAUUCUCCCCGUGAAGAAACGGGGAUAUAAAAAUAAGACGAGAAGACCCUAUGGAGCUUUAAACAUCAUAACACCUGCUUUAAUUUCCUUACCCGUUACCCCCACAGCACAGUGAUUAUAUGUUUUUGGUUGGGGUGACCGCGGAGUAAAAACAACCCUCCACGAUGAAAGCUUCCCUAAACAAUAAGCCACAACUUUAUGUAUUAACAAAUUAACAUUCAUUGACCCAAUUUAUUGAUUAACGAACCAAGUUACCCUAGGGAUAACAGCGCAAUCCACUUCGAGAGCCCCUAUCGACAAGUGGGCUUACGACCUCGAUGUUGGAUCGGGAUACCCAAGUGGUGCAGCCGCUACUAAAGGUUCGUUUGUUCAACGAUUAAAACCCCACGUGAUCUGAGUUCAGACCGGAGUAAUCCAGGUCAGUUUCUAUCUAUUAUUAUAGCUUCUUUUAGUACGAAAGGACCAAAAAAGCAUGGUCAAUACCCAAAGCAAACCAUAAUUCUUAAUUUUAGACCCCAACUCAAAAAAUUAUUAACUUAUUUUCUUCCGUCAAGAAAAGAGUA